GACGAACGCUGGCGGCGUGCUUAACACAUGCAAGUCGAACGAGCGGCGGACGGGUGAGUAAUGUCUGGGAAACUGCCUGAUGGAGGGGGAUAACUACUGGAAACGGUAGCUAAUACCGCAUACCAUCAGAUGUGCCCAGAUGGGAUUAGCUAGUAGGUGGGGUAACGGCUCACCUAGGCGACGAUCCCUAGCUGGUCUGAGAGGAUGACCAGCCACACUGGAACUGAGACACGGUCCAGACUCCUACGGGAGGCAGCAGUGGGGAAUAUUGGACAAUGGGCGAAAGCCUGAUCCAGCCAUGCCGCGUGUGUGAAGAAGGUCUUCGGAUUGUAAAGCACUUUAAGUUGGGAGGCGUUACCAACAGAAUAAGCACCGGCUAACUUCGUGCCAGCAGCCGCGGUAAUUC
rnacentral:rRNA from 1 species